AUGGACAUGUUGGGUCCUGCUCUGGUCCUAGGUCUUCUACUCUGGUUCCCUGAUACAAGAUGUGAUGUCCAGAUCACUCAGACUCCACCUGUCCUGUCUGCAUACCAAGGAUCCAGUGUCACCAUCACCUGCCAAUCUAAUAAGGAUCUUAGUGAUUGGUUAGCUUGGUACCAACAGAAACCAGGGAAGGCUCCCAAGCCCCUGAUCUACUACACAUACAACUUGCAAGCUGGGGUUCCACCAAGGUUCAGUGGCAGUGUAUCAGGGACACAGUAUUCUCUCACCAUCAGCAGCUUGAAACCUGAAGAUGCUGCAACUUAUUACUGUCAGCAAGGGUAUGAGGACCCUCCCACAGUGAUACAAGUAAUUACAUAA